UACAGAGGGUGCGAGCGUUAAUCGGAAUGACUGGGCGUAAAGGGCCAGUAGGUGGGUAUAGAAGUCUUAUGUGAAAGACCUGAGCUCAACUUAGGGAUGUCAUAAGAAACUUUAUAUCUAGAGUAUGAGAGAGGGGAGUGGAAUUUCCGGUGUAGCGGUGAAAUGCGUAGAUAUCGGAAGGAACACCAGAGGCGAAGGCGACUUUCUGGCUCAAUACUGACACUGAGGGGCGAAAGCGUGGGGAGCAAACAGG
rnacentral:rRNA from 1 species